rnacentral:rRNA from 1 species
UACGUAGGGUGCGAGCGUUGUCCGGAAUUACUGGGCGUAAAGAGCUCGUAGGUGGUUUGUCGCGUUGUUCGUGAAAUCUCACGGCUUAACUGUGAGCGUGCGGGCGAUACGGGCAGACUGGAGUACUGCAGGGGAGACUGGAAUUCCUGGUGUAGCGGUGGAAUGCGCAGAUAUCAGGAGGAACACCGGUGGCGAAGGCGGGUCUCUGGACAGUUCCUGACGGCUGAGGCAACGGAAGGUCCAGGGGAGCAAAACGGG